GAUGAACGCUGGCGGCGUGCUUAAUACAUGCAAGUCGAACGAAGACAGUAGCAAUAUUGUCUGAGUGGCGAACGGGUGAGUAACGCGUUGGUGACCUGCCCCGAAGAGAGGGAUAACAGUCCGAAAGGAUUGCUAAUACCCCAUGUGGUCGUUUGGAUUAGAUGCCUUAUGACUAAACGGAUUUAUUCGCUUCGGGAGGGGCCUGCGUCCCAUCAGCUAGUUGGUAGGGUAAUGGCCUACCAAGGCGAUGACGGGUAGGGGACCUGAGAGGGUGGCCCCCCACAAUGGAACUGAAACACGGUCCAUACACCUACGGGUGGCAGCAGUAGGGAAUAUUGGUUAAUCUGGGAAACCGGGAACCAGCAACGCCGCGUGCACGAUGAAGGCCUUCGGGUUGUAAAGUGCUUUUUGAAAGGAUGAGGAAGGACAGUACUUUCAGAAUAAGCUUCGGCUAACUACGUG
rnacentral:rRNA from 1 species